rnacentral:rRNA from 1 species
GAUGAACGCUGGCGGCGUGCCUAAUACAUGCAAGUCGAGCGAACAGAUGAGGAGCUUGCUCCUCUGACGUUAGCGGCGGACGGGUGAGUAACACGUGGAUAACCUACCUAUAAGACUGGGAUAACUUCGGGAAACCGGAGCUAAUACCGGAUAAUAUAUUGAACCGCAUGGUUCAAUAGUGAAAGACGGUUUUGCUGUCACUUAUAGAUGGAUCCGCGCCGCAUUAGCUAGUUGGUAAGGUAACGGCUUACCAAGGCCACGAUGCGUAGCCGACCUGAGAGGGGGAUCGGCCACACUGGAACUGAGACACGGUCCAGACUCCUACGGGAGGCAGCAGUAGGGAAUCUUCCGCAAUGGGCGAAAGCCUGACGGAGCAACGCCGCGUGAGUGAUGAAGGUCUUCGGAUCGUAAAACUCUGUUAUUAGGGAAGAACAAAUGUGUAAGUAACUAUGCACGUCUUGACGGUACCUAAUCAGAAAGCCACGGCUAACUACGUG